UGGGGAAUUUUGGACGAAUUGGGCGAAAGCCUGAUCCAGCAAUGCCGCGUGUGUGAAGAAGGCCUUCGGGUUGUAAAGCACUUUUGUCCGGAAAGAAAUCCUUGGCUCUAAUACAGUCGGGGGAUGACGGUACCGGAAGAAUAAGCACCGGCUAACUACGUGCCAGCAGCCGCGGUAAUACGUAGGGUGCAAGCGUUAAUCGGAAUUACUGGGCGUAAAGCGUGCGCAGGCGGUUUGCUAAGACCGAUGUGAAAUCCCCGGGCUCAACCUGGGAACUGCGUCGGUGACUGGCAGGCUAGAGUAUGGCAGAGGGGGGUAGAAUUCCACGUGUAGCAGUGAAAUGCGUAGAGAUGUGGAGGAAUACCGAUGGCGAAGGCAGCCCCCU
rnacentral:rRNA from 1 species